UCGUAUUGAAGGACUAGCGGAAGUUAUUUCAGAACCACUGGCAAUCAUCUUCGAGAGUUCUUGGAGAACAGGAGAAGUCCCAGCAGAUUGGAGGAGGGCGAAUGUGGUCCCUAUCUUCAAGAAGGGAAAAAAGAACGACCCAAACAAUUACCGUCCGGUCAGCCUCACAUCAAUACCAGGCAAGAUUCUGGAAAAGAUCAUUAAGGAAGUGGUCUGCAAACACUUAGAAACAAAUGCGGUCAUUGCUAAUAGUCAACACGGAUUUACCAAAAACAAGUCAUGCCAGACUAAUCUGAUCUCUUUUUUCGAUAGAGUUACGAGUUGGGUCGAUACAGGGAAUGCCGUGGAUGUAGCAUAUCUAGAUUUCAGUAAGGCCUUCGACAAAGUCCCCCACGACCUUCUGGCAAACAAACUAGUAAAAUGUGGGCUAGACAAAACUACGGUUAGGUGGAUCUGUAAUUGGCUAAGCGAACGAACCCAAAGGGUGCUCACCAAUGCGUCGUCUUCAUCAUGGAAAGAAGUGACAAGUGGAGUGCCGCAGGGCCAUCUCUCUAGUCUGUUAAGAUCGUUUUUAAUUCUGCUCCUUUCUUCUGGAGUGUUGGCUAUCCCUCCCAGUUUGGUGUCAUCUGCAAACUUGAUGAUCAUGCCUUCUAACCCUUCGUCUAAAUCGUUAAUAAAGAUGUUAAACAGAACCGGGCCCAGGACAGAACCCUGCGGCACUCCACUCGUGACUUCUUUCCAAGAUGAAGACGACACAUUGGUGAGCACCCUUUGGGUUCGUUUGCUUAGCCAAUUAUAGAUCCACCUAACUGUAGGUGGAGAUCUUUCUCAAUUAAUGCAUACAGAAUUGCAGCAUUCAAAUCCAGUUCUCCUAAGGUGUAUGCAAAGGUAUGGGAAAGCAAAGAGAUCCAGGUAAUGGAUGUUCCUUAACAUUUUAUCUUUUUAAGGUGUGUGGAGAGAAUUAUAAUGCAGUGCCAUCCACCCACCCAGGGCAGGAAGAGGGGAAAGUUAAUGUCAUGUCUCAGGCCAAUAUCCAAACAUUCCUCUGGGCUCUGGAUUUUAUAUCGGGUUCCUUCUGGCAAACAGAGGUACCCUGAGCUUGGACACUACUGCUAUAAAUAUUCAGGUGUUAACUAUGUCUGAAUUUCAUGUGUAUUGUGUAAGCAGGAACCUGGAGCAAGUUUUGCCAGUCUUAUUCCCAUAUCUCAAUGCUAACUAGCACAUUGCUUCAGUAAAAUGAUGCAAGUAGAAUCAUGUGUUAUCUAAUAAUGGAUUGGAAAACAAACUGAAGCUGAAUUCAAACAAACCAGAGGUGCUUACUGUCAAGGAUCCUAAGUUGAACCGCAGGGGCGGUUCAACUGUUAGGCAAACUAUGCAGUUUCUGAAGGCGCCAUCCACUAGUGGGUGCAGUUGAGGCGCAUCCAGAUGCCCUAAAUGAGCAGCUUCUUUUUUGUUUUGUUUUGUUUUGUUUUGUUUUUUCCCCC
rnacentral:lncRNA from 1 species